rnacentral:rRNA from 1 species
UUAAGUGACUAAGCGUACACGGUGGAUGCCUUGGCAGUCAGAGGCGAUGAAAGACGUAGUAACUUGCGAUAAGCCCAGAUUAGGUAGUAACAACCAUUUGAGUCUGGGAUUUCUGAAUGGGGAAACCCACUUACAUAAGUAAGUAUCAUUAACUGAAUACAUAGGUUAAUGAGGCGAACCGGGGGAACUGAAACAUCUAAGUACCCCGAGGAAAAGAAAUCAACCGAGAUUCCGAAAGUAGCGGCGAGCGAAAUUGGACUAGCCCUUAAGCUUUACACGCGUUAGACGAACGGUCUGGAAAGUCCGACGAUACAGGGUGAUAGUCCCGUAGUUGACGACGUGUGUUCAGUGAAAUCGAGUAGGGCGGGACACGUGAUAUCCUGUCUGAAUAUGGGGGGACCAUCCUCCAAGGCUAAAUACUACUGACUGACCGAUAGUGAACCAGUACCGUGAGGGAAAGGCGAAAAGAACCCCUGUGAGGGGAGUGAAAUAGAACCUGAAACCGUGUACGUACAAGCAGUAGGAGCAGGCUUGUCCUGUGACUGCGUACCUUUUGUAUAAUGGGUCAGCGACUUAUAUUCAGUGGCAAGGUUAACCAUCUAGGGGAGCCGUAGGGAAACCGAGUCUUAACUGGGCGUUCAGUCUCUGGAUAUAGACCCGAAACCAGGUGAUCUAGCCAUGGGCAGGUUGAAGGUUGAGUAACAUCAACUGGAGGACCGAACCGACUAAUGUUGAAAAAUUAGCGGAUGACUUGUGGCUAGGGGUGAAAGGCCAAUCAAACCUGGAGAUAGCUGGUUCUCCCCGAAAGCUAUUUAGGUAGCGCCUCGGACGAAUACUACUGGGGGUAGAGCACUGUUAAGGCUAGGGGGUCAUCCCGACUUACCAACCCUUUGCAAACUCCGAAUACCAGUAAGUACUAUCCGGGAGACACACGGCGGGUGCUAACGUCCGUCGUGGAGAGGGAAACAACCCAGACCGCCAGCUAAGGUCCCAAAUUACUACUAAGUGGGAAACGAUGUGGGAAGGCUCAGACAGCCAGGAUGUUGGCUUAGAAGCAGCCAUCAUUUAAAGAAAGCGUAAUAGCUCACUGGUCGAGUCGGCCUGCGCGGAAGAUGUAACGGGGCUAAGUAGUAAACCGAAGCUGCGGCAAUAUACUUUUGUAUAUUGGGUAGGGGAGCGUUCUGUAAGCGGUUGAAGGUGUGUGGUAACGCAUGCUGGACGUAUCAGAAGUGCGAAUGCUGACAUGAGUAACGAUAAAGGGGGUGAAAAACCUCCUCGCCGGAAGACCAAGGGUUCCUGUCCAACGUUAAUCGGGGCAGGGUAAGUCGACCCCUAAGGCGAGGCCGAAAGGCGUAGUCGAUGGGAAACGGGUUAAUAUUCCCGUACUUCUUACAAUUGCGAUGGGGGGACGGAGAAGGCUAGGUGGGCCUGGCGACGGUUGUCCAGGUUCAAGUGCGUAGGCUUAAGAGUUAGGUAAAUCCGGCUCUUUCUAAGGCUGAGACACGACGUCGAGCACCUACGGGUGUGAAGUCAUUGAUGCCAUGCUUCCAGGAAAAGCCUCUAAGCUUCAGAUUGUAAGGAAUCGUACCCCAAACCGACACAGGUGGUCGGGUAGAGAAUACCAAGGCGCUUGAGAGAACUCGGGUGAAGGAACUAGGCAAAAUGGUACCGUAACUUCGGGAGAAGGUACGCUCUUGAUGGUGAAGUCCCUCGCGGAUGGAGCUGACGAGAGUCGCAGAUACCAGGUGGCUGCAACUGUUUAUUAAAAACACAGCACUGUGCAAAAUCGUAAGAUGACGUAUACGGUGUGACGCCUGCCCGGUGCCGGAAGGUUAAUUGAUGGGGUUAGACUUCGGUCGAAGCUCUUGAUCGAAGCCCCGGUAAACGGCGGCCGUAACUAUAACGGUCCUAAGGUAGCGAAAUUCCUUGUCGGGUAAGUUCCGACCUGCACGAAUGGCGUAAUGAUGGCCACGCUGUCUCCACCCGAGACUCAGUGAAAUUGAAAUCGCUGUGAAGAUGCAGUGUACCCGCGGCUAGACGGAAAGACCCCGUGAACCUUUACUACAGCUUGGCACUGAACAUUGACCCUACAUGUGUAGGAUAGGUGGGAGGCUUUGAAGCACGUACGCCAGUAUGUGUGGAGCCGUCCUUGAAAUACCACCCUUGUAGUGUUGAUGUUCUAACGUCGACCCCUUAUCGGGGUUGCGGACAGUGCCUGGUGGGUAGUUUGACUGGGGCGGUCUCCUCCCAAAGAGUAACGGAGGAGCACGAAGGUGGGCUAAUCACGGUUGGACAUCGUGAGGUUAGUGCAAUGGCAUAAGCCCGCUUGACUGCGAGAAUGACAAUUCGAGCAGGUGCGAAAGCAGGUCAUAGUGAUCCGGUGGUUCUGAAUGGAAGGGCCAUCGCUCAACGGAUAAAAGGUACUCCGGGGAUAACAGGCUGAUACCGCCCAAGAGUUCAUAUCGACGGCGGUGUUUGGCACCUCGAUGUCGGCUCAUCACAUCCUGGGGCUGAAGUCGGUCCCAAGGGUAUGGCUGUUCGCCAUUUAAAGUGGUACGCGAGCUGGGUUUAGAACGUCGUGAGACAGUUCGGUCCCUAUCUGCCGUGGGCGUUGGAAGAUUGAAGGGGGCUGCUCCUAGUACGAGAGGACCGGAGUGGACGAACCUCUGGUGUUCGGGUUGUGUCGCCAGACGCAUUGCCCGGUAGCUAAGUUCGGAAUCGAUAACCGCUGAAAGCAUCUAAGCGGGAAGCGAGCCCUGAGAUGAGUCUUCCCUGAUACUUUAAGUAUCCUAAAGGGUUGUCGGAGACUACGACGUUGAUAGGUCAGGUGUGUAAGUGCUGUGAGGCAUUGAGCUAACUGAUACUAAUUGCCCGUGAGGCUUAACCAU